UAUAUAUUUUAUAUCUAUAUGUAGUUGGUGCAAAAGUAAUUGCGGUUUUUGCCAUUAAAAGUAAUGGCAAAAACCGCAAUUACUUUUGCAUCAACUAUAUAUAUC
ensembl:miRNA